rnacentral:pre_miRNA from 1 species
AAUAAACCAAUUUUUACUUUUUACCUAUAAUGUUUGACUCUUCGUCUAAUUCAAAAAAAAUUAUGAUUAACAUUUUUGUUUUUCUUAGAUAAAUCAUAAAUAGUACUUAACGUGUGACUAAUUUUUUUUCAAUUUUUUUAAAAUUUUUUUAAAUAAGACGAAUGGUCAAACGCUGUACACGGAAACUAAAGAGUUGAACGCUGU